ACUAAUUUGGCAGAUGAAGUGCUUUAAAUUUAGAAUUUAAUAAUGUAGAAUUACAGUUAGUA
rnacentral:tRNA from 1 species